GCGCCCGUAGCUCAGCUGGAUAGAGUAGCGGUUUCCGAUACCGUUGGUCGGAGGUUCGAAUCCUCUCGGGCGUGCCA
rnacentral:tRNA from 1 species